rnacentral:lncRNA from 1 species
GGACGAGGGAGGUGAUCCUGCCCUCUACUCUGCACUUGUGAUGCCUCACGUGGAGUACUGUGUCCAGAUGUGGAGUCCUCAGUACAGGAGAGACAUGGACCUGUUGGAGCACAUCCAGAGGAGGGCCACAAAAAUGAUCCAAGGGAUGGAACACCUCUCCUAUGAAGGCAGGCUGAGAGAGCUGGGGCUGUUCAACCCAGAUGUGGUUGGUCCCCCAUCCCUGGAGACAGUCGAGGUCAGGCUGGCCGUGACUGAGCAACCUCCUCUAGCUGUAGGUGCCCCUGUUCAUUGCAGAGGAGCUGGACUAGAUGACUUUUAAAGGUCCCUUCCAACCCAAACAAUUCUGUGAUUCUAUUCUAUGAAUAAGGAAGUCAUUUUAAAAAGAGUAACUACCUCUGAAGUGGUUGACCACAGCAUUGCACAGCGUGUGCUACUUGCUUUCCAAUAGUUUGCUUUUUCCUCCAGCAUCCAAACCACGAGCCUGACUGUGGCCUCUGCAGUGUUGUGCUGCAUGGUUAAAACAUGAAGACAUGAGCCUUCAUAACUGUAAUGCUGCAAAACCACAGUGCCUGUGUUGAUGACACCACCACCCCUAAAAUCUCCGCUGAGUCAAAUCUAAAAAAAUAAAUGAUUUGCAAACUCCUGCAAAGGCCAUCUAAAAAUAUACCACCAGGAGUGACUUUUGUAGUUUCUGUGGAAAUAAACAGGAGGCAUUACUUUUGGUGCAACCUGCUGAACAGGACCUGAUGAAAAGGAGAUGGCAUGAGGAAGGAGAUGGGUAAUUAGUCCUAGGGAAGGAGCUGGCUCUUGUCAAACAUCAGAUAGCUGGGGCUCGUCACUACAAACUUAACCUCCCAGAAAGGGCAAAGAAAAAGGAGCCUCUCUCCUUCCUCUUUGUGCACGAGGGACUGCAGCACCUGAUUUCCAUGAGAAGAGGCCACUUCUGGCAUGGACAUUCCCAGCAACCGGAGUCCCCUCAAUGCUGUCCUGAUAGAGGAGGGGAGGAAAGAACUCGCCAUUCCAAAAGGCCCAGAGCUGCCAGAAAGGUCCAAGGAAGGCUGAUUGUGCACCAAGGGAACGAAGGGAAAGAGGAUCCCUGCUCCUUGCUGGGAUAAAACCAAACACCAUCCAAAAUUGGUGGGGGAAGGACUGUGGAGAGUUUUGAUGCAUUGACACAGACAUCAAGUUGCUGAUGAGGACACUGCAGUAUGGGGCUGAUUUUGGAUGCUUGAGUGACAUAACAUCCAUAAGUACCGCUGGUCUCAAAUCAGUCUCAUGUGGGGUUUUUAUGAGCACUUUUCAUUCAUAGAUCUCAGAGGGCUUCACAGAGGAGAGAGCUAUAAACAAGACAGAGGGGAGUGAGGGAUAGGCUGGGGCUUUUAAAAGGCAAUGUGUUGUUUCUUUAAGGGGUUCUGUAGAUAAGAGCUCUGUAUGAAGUCUCAUUUUACCAAAAAUAAAAUAUUUUGCAAUGGC